rnacentral:tRNA from 1 species
ACAUUGGGGGUCCAGUGGUAGAAUUUUCACCUUCCAUGUGGGAGACCUGGGGUUGAUUCCCAGUCAAUGCA